rnacentral:rRNA from 1 species
AUGGAGAGGGAGUCGAGGAAGAACUACCAGACGCGAGGCUCCGCGCGCGGCGGCGGCGGCGGGGGCGCUGGCGGCGGCACGGCGGCGGAGCGCGACCUGCUGCUGCAGUGGGGAAACCGGAAGCGCCUGCGCUGCGUCAAGGUGCAGCGCCGCGACGUCGAGGCCGCGGCCACGGCGGCCGCCGAGAAGGCCGCGGUAGGACAGCGCCGCGCCGCCGCCGCCGCUGCCGCUGCCGCAGCCACGGCGGCCGCGCAGCACCACCCGCCCGGCCACGCCCACCACCGCGCCAUCAGGAAUCCUGAGGAGUCUGGAGCAAUGAGGCCGCCAUCACAGCAGCCGCAGAACAACACGCUCCGCACGGUUACAUCCCCAGUCAGGGAGCGCUCUGCAAAGGGAAACAACGACAACAACGCGGUGCCUCCGACCUCUCUCGAUGACAAGAAGGGCUCGUCGUCUGGGAGUGAAGGCUCAAUCUGGCCCAACUUUGCAGUCUCCCUGACGAACAAAGAGAAGGAAGAAGACUUCUUGGUGUUCAAGGGGUCCAAGCUGCCUCAGAGGCCCAAGAAGAGAGUCAAAGCCAUCCAGAGGACUGUCAAUUUUGUAUGCCCUGGAACGUGGCUAUGCGACCUGACUCUGGAAAGAUACGAAGUACGAGAGAAGAAGGUCUCCAAGAAGCGCCCCAGGGGACUGAAAGCGAUGCACGACAUGGACAGCGAGUCGGAAGAGUAA